UACGGGGGGGGCAAGCGUUGUUCGGAAUUACUGGGCGUAAAGGGCUCGUAGGCGGCCAACUAAGUCAGACGUGAAAUCCCUCGGCUUAACCGGGGAACUGCGUCUGAUACUGGAUGGCUUGAGUUUGGGAGAGGGAUGCGGAAUUCCAGGUGUAGCGGUGAAAUGCGUAGAUAUCUGGAGGAACACCGGUGGCGAAGGCGGCAUCCUGGACCGACACUGACGCUGAGGAGCGAAAGCCAGGGGAGCAAACGGG
rnacentral:rRNA from 1 species